rnacentral:snoRNA from 1 species
GGUCAGUGAUGUGAUGUAAAAGGUCUGAACCUCAGACCCCCCCCCCCAAGCUGAGACUUUGGCUCCCAGCAGCCCCUGCUCUCACUCCCAUCAUGCGCUAGUGUUGCAAUGGUGGUUCCAGCAGCUGCUAACAGACAGGAAUGACAUCACUGUUUGAGUCUGUUCAGAGAGUCCAUUGGCUCAGUGUGAUUGACAUCCAACAGAACCAGUCAGCAUGGAGCAUCAGGCUGAGGGGCGGGGCUGGAGAACUGAUCUCACUCUUUUACUGAGACC